rnacentral:piRNA from 1 species
UUCUCAACAGCCUUUAUUGCAGGGACGC